UACGUAGGUGGCAAGCGUUGUUCGGAAUUACUGGGCGUAAAGCGCGCGUAGGCGGCUCUUCAAGUCAGGCGUGAAAGCCCCGGGCUUAACUCGGGAACUGCGCUUGAUACUGUCGAGCUAGAGUGUGGAAGGGGCGAUUGGAAUUCCGUGUGUAGCGGUGAAAUGCGUAGAUAUACGGAGGAACACCAGGGGCGAAGGCGGAUCGCUGGGCCAACACUGACGCUGAUGCGCGAAAGCUAGGGGAGCGAACAGG
rnacentral:rRNA from 1 species